ACGCUCGACACCUACUGGAGGCAGCAGUGGGGAAUAUUGGGCAAUGGGCGCAAGCCUGACCCAGCAACGCCGCGUGAAGGAAGAAGGCCCUCGGGUUGUAAACUUCUUUUGACAGGGACGAAACAAAUGACGGUACCUGUCGAAUAAGCCACGGCUAACUACGUGCUAGCAGCCGCGGUAAUCUGAGCGGGCUGGCAAGGC
rnacentral:rRNA from 1 species